AUCGAUACACGGCAAUUCCGGCGAGCGCUGUAUAAAACGGGACCGAGCAAGUUUCAUGGAAACGCCACAUCGUAACGAGCGCAACCCUGGAAUAAUCGAGCGACUUUGUUUGAUUUGGAAAGCAUGAGAAAGCUUCUUUUUCACUGAGCGGUGCGUAACGAUGAUCAAAUCACGUGGAUGAAUCUGUGAUAUCGAAGUUUGUGAGCUUUAGGGAAAAGUUCGUAAGUUUAAAGUUAGAUGAGUUAAAGACUUUUGGGAUGGAUAUCCGAGGAACAAGGGUUUGGCCUUCUCCUACAGAAGAGAAUUCCAACUGGGACACCCUUCGUGGAAUCCAAUCUCGCCUCAAAGAGGCUCGUCUGUGCUCCAUGGUGUAUUCUCCCGAAAGUUCUGUGACUCGCAGCUUCAAUUACCGAGUUCUCGAUCAAUUAAGCCGUGGCGAGAUAAUAAAUUAGUCGGAACAAUCGAGUAUCGUGAUCGAAAUGAUAUUCGAAUGCGACGAGGAAAGAAUGACGAUCAUUCUGCGAAAUAAGGACGAGACGACCAUAGUUGUGUAUAUUUAACUCUCUACGUGAUGACACUUCCUCAGAUGUUAAUAACAAUCUAAUAAAAAUACCCAUAUAUCUUCCUUUGCCUACCGCUGUGAGGAAACGUUGGACGAAAUAACAAACCCUUCGUUUACGAGAAAAUCUACGUAAAACGAAAAAGAGUAAGAUACAAGAACGAAUAAAUUCUAGAGUGACAAUAAUGGAGACAAUAAUUUCCUA
rnacentral:misc_RNA from 1 species